rnacentral:rRNA from 1 species
UACGGGGGGGGGCAAGCGUUUGUUCGGAAUUACUGGGCGUAAAGGGCUCGUAGGCGGCCAACUAAGUCAGACGUGAAAUCCCCAGGCUCAACCUGGGAACUGCGUCUGAUACUGGUUGGCUUGAAUCCGGGAGAGGGAUGUGGAAUUCCAGGUGUAGCGGUGAAAUGCGUAGAUAUCUGGAGGAACACCGGUGGCGAAGGCGGCAUCCUGGACCGGUAUUGACGCUGAGGAGCGAAAGCCAGGGGAGCAAACGGG